rnacentral:tRNA from 1 species
GGGGAUAGCUCAGGUGGUAGAGUGUAUGCUUAGCAUGCACAAAGUCCUGGGUUCAAUCCCCAGUGUCUCCA